CCUACGGGCGGCAGCAGUGGGGAAUAUUGGGCAAUGGGCGCAAGCCUGACCCAGCAACGCCGCGUGAAGGAAGAAGGCUUUCGGGUUGUAAACUUCUUUUGUCAGGGAAGAGUAGAAGACGGUACCUGACGAAUAAGCCACGGCUAACUACGUGCCAGCAGCCGCGGUAAUACGUAGGUGGCAAGCGUUGUCCGGAGUUACUGGGUGUAAAGGGCGUGUAGCCGGGUUGACAAGUCAGAUGUGAAAUCCUGCGGCUUAACCGCAGAACUGCAUUUGAAACUGUUGAUCUUGAGUGCUGUGGAGGCAGACGGAAUUCGUGGUGUAGCGGUGAAAUGCGUAGAUAUUAGAAGGAACACCAGUGGCGAAGGCAGUCUGCUGGGCAGCAACUGACGGUGAGGCGCGAAAGCGUGGGUAUCGAACAGGAUUAGAUACCCUGGUAGUC
rnacentral:rRNA from 1 species